ACUUAAAUAGUUUAAUUAAAAUAUCAGUUUGUGGUUCUGAUGAUGUUUUAUAACUUUAGGUA
rnacentral:tRNA from 2 species